AUGGAAGAAGAGGUUGAAAAUCAGCAUGGCUUGCCAUUCGGAAGGCAGGGGGGGCCCGAGGAUUCAGUUUAUGCUGUCCAGCGGUUAUCAGAUGAUUUGGAGGAUCAGAUUGCACUGACUUCACGGCUGUCAGUUAAGCAUGUCGUCGAGGUUGUAAAAAAGUUUGACGACUACAAGAGGUGGCUUGUGGCUGAGAUUGGGUUUGAAGGUAUGCUGAAUCUUCCAUUGUUGGGAAAACUAGAUCUGAAAAUGAGUGCAUGGGUUAUGAGGAAGGCGAAGGUGAAGACGCGCACAAUAGUUAUUGACAAGGAUCGGGUGAUUAUGUUUACUCCAGAGGAUUUUCACAAAAAUUUUGGAGUUCCUUGUGGCAACCGGGCUGUCCGUGGAAGGGAUGGUGAAAUCAAGACAGCAGCAGUUGAGUUUAUGAAGCAGACAAUUGGGAUGAAUGCAUCACCUGCUCACAAUCUGAAGGUCGCGGAAGAUUUUUUGUGUAGAGAGAUAUCAGAGGAGUCGAGCAAGAUUGAGAAGGAUUGUUUCCAGAUUUCGUUUGUUAUAUUUGUAAUGGGUUAUGUCCUGUCACCGGGAACGAAAUAUGAGCACAUGACAAUUGAUUUCUGGGGUGCACUGGCCAAUCCAGAACUGAUAUCACAAUUCAAUUGGUGCGAGUAUGCUGUUGACAAUCUAAUGGCAGGUGUGAUGAAGUUGCAGAGUGAAUAUCACAACAAGGCACAAACAGUUCAUCUUACUGGAUGCCAUUUGUUCUUUCAGAUUUUCGUGCUGGACAACAUUGACCUUGGGAUAUUCAACAUGGAGCACUCUGUAUUUCCGCGUGUGCAGUGUUUUCAACAGAAAAAACUUAACCAGAUGAUCAUCAUGGCUCGGUGCACGCAGCGGGGCAUGAUAACCUAUGUCCCAGGAGCUUUGCGUCCUCCAGAUUCGGUUUGCUAUAUUCGGGUCACUGCGUCGAGCCCAGUGUACAGAGACAGUAGAUUAAUGGAGUCCUCAUCAAAGCAUCCAGUUUCGAGGAUGUUUGUUACACCAAACAUUCAGGAAUUGAAGGGUGGCUCACAUGACAGCACAGCUGCAAAAAACUUUUUUUCUAAUCCUAUGUCUGCCACCCGUUCAAUAGGACCAAGUGAUUUUAGCAAGCAUCUUAGAGAAAUUUGCAAAGAUGACCCUGUAUGUUUGGGUGUUGUUUUUCUUCUUAUUUUUUGCAUGCACGAGUUAUGCAUUAGUAUGAUGUUUUGGGGUUGCAGGUACUGGAAGAGUUGA
rnacentral:rRNA from 1 species